rnacentral:rRNA from 1 species
UACAGAGGUCCCAAGCGUUGUUCGGAUUCACUGGCGUAAAGGGUGCGUAGGUGGUCGGGUAAGUCUGAUGUGAAAUCUCCAGCUCACUUGGAAACUGCAUCGGAUACUAUUCGGCUUGAGGUUGGAGGGGGGGGACUGGAAUGCUUGGUGUAGCAGUGAAAUGCGUAGAUAUCAAGCGGAACACCAGUGGCGAAGGCGAGUCCCUGGACAACUCCUGACACUGAGGCACGAAAGCUAGGGAGCAAACAGG